rnacentral:rRNA from 1 species
UACAGAGGGUGCGAGCGUUGUUCGGAAUCAUUGGGCGUAAAGCGCGUGUAGGCGGUCCGGUAAGUCCGCUGUGAAAGUCGAGGGCUCAACCCUCGAAUGCCGGUGGAUACUGUCGGGCUUGAGUACGGGAGAGGCGAGUGGAAUUCCUGGUGUAGCGGUGAAAUGCGCAGAUAUCAGGAGGAACACCGAUUGCGAAGGCAGCUCGCUGGAACGUUACUGACGCUGAGACGCGAAAGCGUGGGGAGCAAACAGG